UUUGCUGAUGAUGACUCCAUAGACCUGUACCGAAUGCGGAGAUGAUCGCAAAAUUGAACAUCUAAGGGGCUGAAGCAUU